CCCUAACAAUGACACUUAUCUGUGGUCUCGGAAAGGAGUAAAAAACAUGCUCCCCAGAGGGGCCUACUAUCAGGACAGACAUUAUUUCCUCUAUGCGCAGGAUCUGAAGAUUUCCCCUCAUUACCCUGUCCUGCAGAGCUCUGCCAAACUGGUCUUCCUGCCCUGGGAGUUGCCUAAAUCUAUCUGAAUGUUUUUACCACCCUUUAUUGGACUUCUCCUCAGUUUUGAGGAGGUGAAGUUUGUUUAUAGAGUGCCAGGUGUUGGGAACACAGCAAUGAAUAAGAUACUAUUCCUGCCCGUAAGAAGCUUCAAUCUGG